GACGAACGCUGGCGGCGUGCUUAACACAUGCAAGUCGAACGUGAUUUUUGUGGAAAUUCUUUCGGGAAUGGAAAUGAAAUGAAAGUGGCGAACGGGUGAGUAACACGUGAGCAACCUACCUUACACAGGGGGAUAGCCGUUGGAAACGACGAUUAAUACCGCAUGAGACCACAGAAUCGCAUGAUAUAGGGGUCAAAGAUUUAUCGGUGUAAGAAGGGCUCGCGUCUGAUUAGCUAGUUGGAAGGGUAAAGGCCUACCAAGGCGACGAUCAGUAGCCGGUCUGAGAGGAUGAACGGCCACAUUGGAACUGAGACACGGUCCAAACUCCUACGGGAGGCAGCAGUGGGGAAUAUUGCACAAUGGGGGGAACCCUGAUGCAGCGACGCCGCGUGAGCGAAGAAGGUUUUCGAAUCGUAAAGCCCUGUCCUAUGAGAAGAUAAUGACGGUAUCAUAGGAGGAAGCCCCGGCUAAAUACGUG
rnacentral:rRNA from 1 species